rnacentral:rRNA from 1 species
UACGAAGGUCCCAAGCGUUAUCCGGAUUAUUGGGUUUAAAGGGUGCGUAGGCGGGUUAUUAAGUCAGUGGUGAAAGCCUUCAGCUUAACUGAAGAAUUGCCAUUGAUACUGAUGAUCUUGAGUAUGAUUGAGGUUGGCGGAAUGUGUCAUGUAGCGGUGAAAUGCUUAGAUAUGACACAGAACACCGAUUGCGAAGGCAGCUAACUAAGUCAUAACUGACGCUGAUGCACGAAAGCGUGGGGAGCAAACAGG